UUCAUGUUACAUCAACUGCCAAACACAGUUAACUGUCACUAUCUUAAAACAACCAAUAUGUUUACGUUACAUGAAGUUACUACCAAAAACUGUUAACUGUCAUAUAUCUGAAGAAAAUGUGACGGGAAAUUUUAAAUUGAAGUGGGUUCAAAGCGUUUACAUAUCAACUCUCUUCCACAGAUCUGAAAAUGAUGUUUCCUUUUGGUUAUUGUUGCCAAAUAUAUUACCGUUUGGGUAGGGCUGCACAAUUUACUGAAUUAAGUUUUGGCUGCCAAGACUGAAUGAGCUUGAUCGUCUGUGAUUUUUUUUAACAUUUAAAAUGUGGUAGUGCUGCAUGAGAAGAGUUCUUUUACGCGACAGUGACCACAAACUAGACAGACAACAACCAGGAGGCAAACGCAUGGUUUUGGCUUCAUUAAUCCCUGGAACCUGGUACCAACUUCAAAAUCUUCUUUUCCUUUCAGCUUGUCCCAUAAGGGGUCGCCACAGUGAGUCAUAUUUUUCCAUGCAUGUUCCCCAGGGGCAGAGAACCAAGAGAACAUUCUCGAAUCAUCAGAGGGGAAGUCCAAUCCAAACCGAGGCUUUAAAGGUCUUGCCCAUGAGGGCGCGGGGCUCGUCCGUUUCGAAAGGGCGGCACGGUGAAGCAGCUGGAGAGCGUUGGCUUCACAGUAUGAGGACCAGGGUUCAAAUCCCGACCCCACCUGUGUGGAGUUUGCAUGUUCUCCCCAUACCUGUGUGGGUUAUGUAUAAGGAUGCUUUUUUCCUGAGAAUUUUGGUUAUCCAAAUAAAG